CUUGACGACCAUAGAGCGUUGGAACCACCUGAUCCCAUCCCGAACUCAGCAGUGAAACGAUGCAUCGCCGAUGGUAGUGUGGGGUUUCCCCAUG
rnacentral:rRNA from 1 species